GACGAACGCUGGCGGCGUGCCUAAUACAUGCAAGUAGAACGCACAGUUUAUACCGUAGCUUGCUACACCAUAGACUGUGAGUUGCGAACGGGUGAGUAACGCGUAGGUAACCUGCCUGGUAGCGGGGGAUAACUAUUGGAAACGAUAGCUAAUACCGCAUAAUAUUAAUUAUUGCAUGAUAAUUAAUUGAAAUGUGCAAUUGCACCACUACCAGAUGGCCCUGCGUUGUAUUAGCUAGUAGGGGAGGUAACGGCUCACCUAGGCGACGAUACAUAGCCGAACUGAGAGGGGGAUCGGCCACACUUGGACUGAGACACGGCCCAGACUCCUACGGGAGGCAGCAGUAGGGAAUCUUCGGCAAUGGACGGAAGGCUGACCGAGCAACGCCGCGUGAGGGAAGAAGGGUUUCGGAUCGUAAAGCUCUGUUGUAAGAGAAGAACGGGUGUGAGAGUGGAAAGUUCACACUGUGACGGUACCUUAUCAGAAAGGGACGGCUAACUACGUG
rnacentral:rRNA from 1 species